rnacentral:tRNA from 1 species
GGGCGAUUAGCUCAGUGGGAGAGCGCUGCCUUCACACGGCAGAGGUCGUAGGUUCGAAACCUACAUCGCCCACCA